UGGGGAAUUUUGGACAAUGGGGGAAACCCUGAUCCAGCAAUGCCGCGUGAAUGAAGAAGGCCUUAGGGUUGUAAAAUUCUUUUAUUAAUGAAGAUGAUGACGGUAAUUAAUGAAUAAGUCCCGGCAAACUUCGUGCCAGCAGCCGCGGUAAUACGAAGGGGACUAGCGUUGUUCGGAAUCACUGGGCGUAAAGAGCGAGUAGGCGGUUAAGUAAGUUAGAUGUGAAAUCCUUGGUCUCAAGCCAAGAACUGCAUUUAAUACUGCUAAACUAGAUGACAGAAGGGGAUAUUGGAAUUCCAAGUGUAGAAGUGAAAUUCGUAGAUAUUUGGAGGAACACCAGUAGCGAAGGCGUAUAUCUGGUCUGUUUAUGACGCUGAGUCGCGAAAGUAUGGGGAGCAAA
rnacentral:rRNA from 1 species